rnacentral:rRNA from 1 species
GACGAACGCUGGCGGCGUGCUUAACACAUGCAAGUCGAACGGAAAGGCCCUGCUUGCGGGGUACUCGAGUGGCGAACGGGGGAGUAACACGUGGGUGUUCUGCCCUGCACUUCGGGAUAAGCCUGGGAAACUGGGUGUAAUACCGGGGAGGAGCGAUUUUGAGUGUGGUGGGUGGAAAGUUUUUUCGGUGUAGGAUGGGCCUGCGGCCUAUCAGCCUGUUGGUGGGGUAAGGGCCUACCAAGGCGGGGACGGGUAGGCGGCCGGGGGGGGUGGACGGCCACAUUGGGACUGAGAUAAGGCCCAGAAUCCCACCGGAGGCAGGAGGGGGGAAUAUUGCACAAUGGGCCGAAGGCUGAUGCAGGGACGCCGGGGUGGGGAAGACGGCCUUCGGGUUGUAAACCCCUUUCGCUAGGGAAGAAGCUUUUUGUGACGGUACCUAGAUAAGAAGCACCGGCUAACUACGUG